rnacentral:rRNA from 1 species
UACGUAGGGUGCGAGCGUUGUCCGGAAUUACUGGGCGUAAAGGGCGCGUAGGCGGCUUAACAAGUCACUUGUGAAAUCUCCGGGCUUAACUCGGAACGGCCAAGUGAAACUGUCAAGCUAGAGUGCAGAAGGGGCAAUCGGAAUUCUUGGUGUAGCGGUGAAAUGCGUAGAUAUCAAGAGGAACACCUGAGGUGAAGACGGGUUGCUGGGCUGACACUGACGCUGAGGCGCGAAAGCCAGGGGAGCAAACGGG